rnacentral:rRNA from 1 species
UACGAAGGGGGCUAGCGUUGCUCGGAAUCACUGGGCGUAAAGGGCGCGUAGGCGGCCUGAUAAGUCGGGGGUGAAAGCCUGUGGCUCAACCACAGAAUUGCCUUCGAUACUGUUAGGCUUGAGACCGGAAGAGGUAAGUGGAACUGCGAGUGUAGAGGUGAAAUUCGUAGAUAUUCGCAAGAACACCAGUGGCGAAGGCGGCUUACUGGUCCGGAUCUGACGCUGAGGCGCGAAAGCUAGGGUAGCAAACGGG